rnacentral:rRNA from 1 species
UACGGGGGGGGGCAAGCGUUUGUUCGGAAUUACUGGGCGUAAAGGGCUCGUAGGCGGCCAACUAAGUCGGACGUGAAAUCCCCAGGCUCAACCUGGGAACUGCGUCCGAUACUGGAUGGCUUGAAUUCGGGAGAGGGAUGCAGAAUUCCAGGUGUAGCGGUGAAAUGCGUAGAUAUCUGGAGGAAUACCGGUGGCGAAGGCGGCAUCCUGGACCGACAUUGACGCUGAGGAGCGAAAGCUAGGGGAGCAAACGGGG